GUGCUCGCUUCGGCAGCACAGAUACUAAAGUUGGAACGAUACAGAGAAGAUUAACAUGGCCCUGCACAAGGAUGACAUGCAUAUUCGUGAAGUGUUCCAUAUCUCU